CUAGAGCAGAUAAUCCUAACCAGGCAACGAGACAGAGAUGUGAAUAUAUUAGCCCUAGGUAAAAUUUAUACCUGAAUAUAUUCUAUCCACCAGACUCUUAAUCCUGAGAGAUAAACAAGGAUUAGAUACCCUUCUAUACUCAGGACCCUUCAGGCAGGGUAGUAACUAGCUAUGUUCUUCAAACCCAAAGGAUUUGGCGGUUUCUUAUCUAAUCAGAGGAACCUGUAUAAUAAUCGAAGCUACACGGUGCAUCUUACCAGAGGUAGGCCUGUAUACCGUCGUCUAGACAGUUCUAAAAAGAUCUCUCGUCACGGGAUACAGUAAUGGCAGAUCAAGGUGCAGCUUACUCUGGCUGGUAUGGGUUACAAUCCAGACAGGGCUGGAUGGCUAGUUUAUAAGCGGCUUAAAAUUGGAUUUGACAGUAAUAAGUUUAAGUAAAGACGUAUAAAGAUGCUAUGGGAAACGUACAUAUCGCCCGUCACUCUCACUCUAAAU
rnacentral:rRNA from 1 species